rnacentral:rRNA from 1 species
GACGUAGGGCGCAAGCGUUGUCCGGAAUUAUUGGGCGUAAAGAGCUCGUAGGCGGUCUGUUGCGUCGGCUGUGAAAACCCGGGGCUCAACUCCGGGCCUGCAGCCGAUACGGGCAGACUAGAGUUCGGCAGGGGAGACUGGAAUUCCUGGUGUAGCGGUGAAAUGCGCAGAUAUCAGGAGGAACACCGGUGGCGAAGGCGGGUCUCUGGGCCGAUACUGACGCUGAGGAGCGAAAGCGUGGGGAGCGAACAGG